rnacentral:sRNA from 1 species
CACCGCCUGGGGAGUACGACCGCAAGGUUAAAACUCAAAUGAAUUGACGGGGACCCGCACAAGCAGUGGAGCAUGUGGUUUAAUUCGAAGAUACGCGCAGAACCUUACCAACACUUGACAUGUUCGUCGCGACUCUAAGAGAUUGGAGUCUUCGGUUCGGCCGGACGAAACACAGGUGCUGCAUGGCUGUCGUCAGCUCGUGUCGUGAGAUGUUGGGUUAAGUCCCGCAACGAGCGCAACCCUUACUUUUAGUUGCUACCAUUCAGUUGGGCACUCUAAAAGAACUGCCAGUGAUAAGCUGGAGGAAGGCGGGGAUGACGUCAAGUCCUCAUGGCCCUUACGUGUUGGGCUACACACGUGCUACAAUGGUAUUUACAAUGGGAAGCAAAGAGGCGACUCCAAGCAAAUCCCAAAAAGAUACCUCAGUUCGGAUUGUACUCUGCAACUCGAGUGCGUGAAGCUGGAAUUGCUAGUAAUCGCGGAUCAGCGCGCCGCGGUGAAUACGUUCCCGGGUCUUGUACACACCGCCCGUCACACCAUGGAAGUUGGUUACACCUUAAGGCAAAGUGUAAAACCUUUGACUACGGUACGAUCAGCGACUGGGGUGAAGUCGUAACAAGGUAGCCGUAGGGGAACCUGCGGCUGGAUCACCUCCUUUCUAAGGAAAUCGGAAAAUAUCAAAACAAUUAUUUUUCGAUUUAAAAAAAACCGGUAAUGUGACCGUCCUCAUUUCUCUUCUUUUAAUGUCUCUGGGUACAAAUUAAGGGGCCGGUAGCUCAGGUGGUUAGAGCGCACCCCUGAUAAGGGUGAGGUCGGAAGUUCGAAUCUUCCUCGGCCCACCAAAAGUUUCGGGGGAUUAGCUCAGCUGGGAGAGCGCCUGAUUUGCAUUCAGGAGGUCAGCGGUUCGAUCCCGCUAUCCUCCACCAAAUUUGAGACAUUCAGCUUUUUUAAAUCGUGAAUAUUAUUAUUAUCAAUAUCUAUAUCCGAUUGUUUUCAGAUAUUUUUUUGAAAACAAUCAAAACAAAAAUUUAAUUUAUUGCAGAAAAAUUUUUUUCUG